ACCAUCACCUCUCCACCAUAUUUUUAACUAAUCCUCCUAUCUUAAUCGACAUCUAACACGACUGUUUGUAUAUGCAGAUCCCUUCGAGCUCCGGUGCACACAACCUCAUCCACCAAAGAUAGAGUUUGAUGUCGUCCACCACAAUACACAUGGAUGGCGCCCCUGCCCGCCUGCUACGCAUCGGCGGCACCCACAACGCCUCCCGGGUCCCCGGCAUCGGCUUCGCCUAACCACGGAGAAGCGCCUGGACAGCGCCAGUGCUCCUCGGUGCCACGCAUCGGUUUCUUCCGGACAUCCACUUCCAACGGCCAGCAUCGGCUUUGGCCGGCAGCGGAUGCCUUCCACACCCACCCCGCGCCCGUCACAUCUCCUCCUAGGAUCUUGCUGCUACUCCUCGUCUAGCCCCUCCUUCCUUUGCUUCGGCAUGGAGCCUGACGAGCCGUUCAGCAUGUCUUGAAGUGGUAGAGUACAAAAUCCGCCUGAAUGAUUCACAGCUGGUCUAACUGCUCCCCAUGGCAAGAGAUUAAGUCCUAGAACUAAGGUGAGGUUAUUCUGUUAAAAGUAAAUAAAAUGGUAUACCUGACUUCCUGCCCACAUUUUACAAGUAAGGAACCGUUGAUUUGGGAUCCAUCUCGAUGGCCCAUAAGAUAAAUCAUCUCACCCUACCAUGAUUAAGUACCGCGUGCAUUUGUAGUUUUAUCUGUUCCACGCUUAACAUGGCCAUUAUUAGACUCUAUUCCGAGAAGGUUUGUAGUUUCUAGACCUAUUUUUUAUUCCGCAAAUCAUUUUUUAUCAAUGUUUCUAGAGUAGGAACAUGCCUUUUCAACCGAUUAAUUUGGUAUCUCUAAACCUUUAGUACCAAUCCUGCUUACUCAAUGGCUUCAAAUCCAAACAAGCUUUGAGGCCCUUGAUCCAAACCAGCCAUACAAUUUGUCGUUUCUGUAUUAAGCAUUUGAAAGUUCAGGUGGUCCUAUCUUCUAUUUUUAAUUACUGAUGUGUUCUGAACAUAUUUUGGAAUAACCAAAAUAUAUUGAUGUUGCAGGUUACUUUUGUCUAGAUUAUGGGGUAAAAAAGCUUUUGUAUGGAUUAGUUCUCUUCCAAUGAUUCUCAUGUUUAAUGUUGUGAGUUACUUCCACAUAUGUGCACACCCGAGAGUGUUGACAAGUAUAGGUCUGAACAAUUAAAGGAAGAUGAUACAACAAUAGUUGAAGGAAGGUCAACCUAUUUUUCCAUCCAAUUCUCGUUAGUCUUCCAUGGACCUAAAAAUAUUACUAUGAAACAAGAUACAUAUUGUUUAGAAGUUGCCAAAAUUCCAGUGGAUAAACAUUAGGGCUCGUCACUCCUUAUGUUUACUAACCUCUAUCUUAAAUCUGCUUCCUUGUGAGUUUUAUUUUUGAUCUA